rnacentral:rRNA from 1 species
UACAGAGGCCUCAAGCGUUGUUCGGAUUCAUUGGGCGUAAAGGGUGCGUAGGUGGCUUGGUAAGUUGAAGGUGAAAUCUCGGGGCUCAACUCCGAAACUGCCUUCAAUACUGUCGAGCUCGAGGAUUGUAGAGGAGAAUGGAAUUCACGGUGUAGCAGUGAAAUGCGUAGAUAUCGUGAGGAACACCAGUGGCGAAGGCGGCUCACUGGCCCGGAACUGACGCUGAGGUGCGAAAGCGUGGGGAGCAAACAGG